UGCGUAGGCGGCCUGAUAAGUCAGGUGUGAAAUACCAGGGCUCAACUCUGGGGGGUGCACUUGAAACUGUCGGGCUUGAGUGCAGGAGAGGAAAGCGGAAUUCCUAGUGUAGCGGUGAAAUGCGUAGAUAUUAGAAGGAACACCAGUGGCGAAGGCGGCUUUCUGGACUGUAACUGACGCUGAGGCACGAAAGCGUGGGUAGCGAACA
rnacentral:rRNA from 1 species